CCGGAGCCUCGGAGCCUCGGAGCCCCGGAGCCUCAGAGCCUCGGAGCCUCGGAGCCCCCGACCCCCGACCCCCUCACAGCGGCCGUGCGUUCGUCCGUCUGCUCGGCGCUUUGGAGUGAAACUAAACCCUGGCUCAACUUUUAUCUGUGCGACCAGACAGAGCAGUGCAUGUACUACAUGAAGCAGCUGAAGCCGCAGGCCGUUGCUGCAGCCACCGAGGGCACAGCUCCAGUGCUUCAUGCGGGUCCAGGUGUCAGAGCCCAGAAGAGGAAACGCUUUGACAAAGCGAACGCAGUCCAAUCCAAGCCAGGAGGUUCAGGGAGCGUGAUGUGGGACUGAAAGGACAGUGAAGAGGCAGCUACUGGGCUGAACACACUUCAGAAGGCAAACAGCAUAGACGUCAACCACGCUGGGACACGGCGUUUACAUCUGACGCUCACUUAUACGUUGCUGGAGGAUAAAUUGGAGCGUUACACCCAUCAGUUGCCAUAGCGAUGAGGGGAAAUGUGUCAUAACGAUCAUUUCUGGAUCAUUGAUGUGUCUUCAAUCUCUGCCUGGCUCUUCAGUAAAUUCAUCUAUUUCCGUUUGAAAUAAGAAUAUCUGACGCUGAGUUGUGUUUGUAGAACAUGAACAUAAAUACGACUAAGCGCCAUUUAUUUCCUUCCUGUCCAGUGUGUUUGUGCCUCUUUAGUGCUCUGUCGAAUGUUAACUUGACCUUGAUUUAUUUGCUCCCCCACACACGCACGCACGCACACACACACUCCAGUUACUUUAAGUAUUUGCCCGACCUCUGGCCUCAGAUAAUGACAUGCAUCGACUGGAACCUGCAUCCGUUUUGCACUGCGUGACACUUCCUGCGCCCUCCGCUGCGCCCAUGUUCACUUCAGGACUUGAGUAAUGGCUGAUGAGUGACGUGCUCACUUAUCACCCAUGCUGCUCUCCCUCACACACCCUCACACCCUCUCACCACCUUCACCUGCUUGUCCUCCGCUUUACCCCGACCCCUCCAUCCGUCCUCCUAACCCCCCCACAACCGGCCCGCUCUGACCAACGGGUGCGCCCUCCAAUCAAUUAGUUCACGUGUUCUGUAAUGACAGCAGCUGGGGCCUGGCGGGCGUCUCUGUGUUAGCAGAAUUUUACUGGCCACGAGAACUCUCCGGAUGAGAUGCCUCCCAUUUAUUCGCCCCAGGGAGGGAGAGAUGGAAGCGUGCAUAUGUCUAUCCGUCUCCGUGCCUUUAUUUUCACAGCAUCUGGUCUGUGUCAGAGCCAGCUGGCCACAUGAGCCAGAACUGGCCGAGAGCGAGGCUAGUUUAGAUUCAAAAUAAAAUUGCAUUUAAACUUUCAAUUAAAUUAAAACUUGGA